rnacentral:rRNA from 1 species
GACGAACGCUGGCGGCGUGCUUAACACAUGCAAGUCGAACGGAAAGGCCCUGCUUUUGUGGGGUGCUCGAGUGGCGAACGGGUGAGUAACACGUGAGUAACCUGCCCUUGACUUUGGGAUAACUUCAGGAAACUGGGGCUAAUACCGGAUAGGAGCUCCUGCUGCAUGGUGGGGGUUGGAAAGUUUCGGCGGUUGGGGAUGGACUCGCGGCUUAUCAGCUUGUUGGUGGGGUAGUGGCUUACCAAGGCUUUGACGGGUAGCCGGCCUGAGAGGGUGACCGGCCACAUUGGGACUGAGAUACGGCCCAGACUCCUACGGGAGGCAGCAGUGGUGAAUAUUGCAAAAUGGGCGGAAGCCUGAUGCAGCAACGCCGCGUGCGGGAUGACGGCCUUCGGGUUGUAAACCGCUUUCGCCUGUGACGAAGCGUGAGUGACGGUAAUGGGUAAAGAAGCACCGGCUAACUACGUG